UCCCUGGUGGCUCAGUUGGUAAAGAAUCUGCCUGAAAUGCAGGAGACCUGGGUUCAAUCCCUGAUCAGGAAG
rnacentral:tRNA from 1 species